GGUUUACUAUCUGUUAAAUUUCUUUUUGAGAUUUCUACUGUUUAUUGCCUUGAUGUCAUCUUUAAUAAUUCUUUUAAGAUGCAUCUGAAGUUGCAGAGGACAUUAAGGUUUUAACUUGGGAAUGGAGUGCUCAUAAAUUGAAGGUCGCCCCGUGUUUAUAUUACGAAUGGACUUGGAACCCGGGUAUUUGUUUUGAGCGCUGAUGAGCUCUGCUGAUUUUUUAGCUGCCUUGACAGUCUUGUGGUUUUUUUGCUAUCAGAAGAGACUGACUUUUGCUGCUACUGGUUUUUCUCUCUUUCUGUUUGGUGUGUUUUGUGGGAGUGGACUUGGUUUUAUUGUUUUGUGUUUCAAUUCUUGUUGGUUCCUAUCAUUUUAUCUUGUUUUUC
rnacentral:lncRNA from 1 species